rnacentral:rRNA from 1 species
AUUGAACGCUGGCGGCAGGCCUAACACAUGCAAGUCGAACGAGUGGCGGACGGUUGAGUAAUGUCUGGGAAACUGCCCGAUGGAGGGGGAUAACUACUGGACACGGUAGCUAAUACCGCAUACCCUCGGAUGUGCCCAGCUGGGAUUAGCUCGUAGGUGGGGUAACGGCUCACCUAGGCGCCGCUCCCUAGCUGGUCUGAGAGGAUUACCAGCCAAACUGGAACUGAGACACGGUCCAGACUCCUACGGGAGGCAGCAGGGGGGAAUAUUGCACAAGGGGCGCAAGCCGGAUGCAGCCAUGCCGCGUGUAUGAAGAAGGCCUUCGGGUUGUAAAGUACUUUCAGCGAGGAGGCGUUACUCGCAGAAGAAGCACCGGCUAACUCCGUGCCAGCAGCCGCGGUAAUUC